UACGGAGGGGGUUAGCGUUGUUCGGAAUUACUGGGCGUAAAGCGUCCGCAGGCGGAUAUUUAAGUUAGAGGUGAAAUCCCGGGGCUCAACCCCGGAACUGCCUUUAAAACUGGGUAUCUAGAGUCAUGGAGAGGUAAGUGGAAUUCCUAGUGUAGAGGUGAAAUUCGUAGAUAUUAGGAGGAACACCAGAGGCGAAGGCGGCUUACUGGACAUGAACUGACGCUGAGGGACGAAAGUGUGGGUAGCAAACGGG
rnacentral:rRNA from 1 species